CUCUAUCUUCUUACUAAAACCCCAAUUACUAUGCGACUUAGUUUGUAGGGUUGCAACUUUCAAAUUUGGCUACCUACCCUCAGAGAAAAAUAUGGAAAAGGAGAAACGACUUUCAAGCUGGAAAGUUUGGCAAAUUGUUGGCAUACGAGUGUAGUAGAUUGAAUAACAUGGGGAGAUCAUGAGCUGAUAUUGUUCUGCUGAGGCCCAUAUUAUGAGCGAUCAGUAGAUGAGCCUGACGGGCCUGUUUAUAUAAAAGUCUAUAAGUGAGAAGGAGCAACUCUAUUUUGGUACCCAAAUAUCAAGACCAAAGCGUGACAGUCCAUCUUCCUAAGGUCCUUCUUCUUCGUCCAGAUCCUUGUAUUGGCCCUCGCUGCUGCAUCCGUCUCUGCUCAGGAGGGUUUUCCGGCACUAUAUAUAUGAAGAGUUCUCACUAUCACUGUUCGGCUUUUGCGGGAGUCCUUUGGAGACUUCUUCUCGUGUUGGGUAAUGAAGUAGAGGUCUUCUCUUUCUUAAUUGGUCUUUCACUUAUGAUUCUUUGAAAGCUUCCCAUAUCUGCCAUGGGUUCUUAUUCUCCAUAGAGAUCGCAGAAAGGAACAAGUCCUUGGUGAAAGCCUUCUCCAUCGAGUUUGGGACGAAGAUAAUGAACAAGUAGUUAUUCUGAGUCAGCCAUUAGGCCUAAACCUGGAGCUCAGAGGAGGAUCAUCGUGAACUGCCAUGGAUUUUUUUGUACGUAAGGAUACGAUGCGUGUGUGCUUUGUUUCUUGUCUUCUUGAAUAGUUUCUAAUUUCUGCUCUGAAGAUUGAUAGUGACAACUCUUCAUAUAUAUAGCACCGUGGUAUCUGCAUAUGUGAGAUUCCAAUGGGUCUCAUUUGUCAUUUCAUUACUACAAUAUUGGUCUGGGCGGAAUGCUGUGCAUGUGGCUUUUCUUUAAGGGAUUGGUUUUGUUGGAUCUUUGGUUCACUAGAUUGUAAUAAAGCUACAUAUGCUGACUAUUAUUUCCCAGGAGUAACUUGGCUCUCAGAAAGGGAAAAAAAAAAAGAAAAAAAGCAUGCACGAUCUGUUUGGGAGCUUGGUCUUGGGGUUGAUUAGAGGAAUCACACGCAUUGCUCAUUAAUGUAUGUCUUUUCUUGCUCUUUAGCAAUUUCUUGGCUAUGGAAUAAGCAAAAUAAGGUGUACAAACAGAGUAGUUUUGGUGGGUAGGAACUCAUGCACAUUAGGUGUUUGAUGAAAGUCCUCAAUGAGGUUGUUGUUAUACAAAACCCUUUUGUUUUUGCAUGUUGAUUACUACUACUAAUAGCUAUGGGUUUGACUAA